rnacentral:lncRNA from 1 species
AGCGCGUGAGUACUGGAAACUCAAUCACCAAGCUCGCCUUCUUGUCUUAGCCGGUGUAUAUAUUGUCUCAUACCAACACGAUCGUCUCUAUGAUUAUAUCUAGAUUUUUAAGACAACAAAUUAAGAAAGUGACCAAAUUCUUAUCGUCUCUACGUCGAGAAGAAAACAAAGAAAGUUACGUUGAAAAGAAAGUCAAGUUGGAAAAUAUCGUCGAAAAGAAAGUGACCAGAUUAUUAAGGAAUGUAAUGGCUGCAUUAAAUUCAUAUUAUUUGCUUCCGUGCGUUCUCUGCACGACACGUAUGUGAAUACUCAAAUAAAGACUUCUCAUGAUGCCACGUCAA